UAACGGCGAGUGAAGCGGCAGCAGCUCAAAUUUGAAAUCUGGCCCCCUGGGGAGCCCGAGUUGUAAUUUGAAGAGGCAGCUUCGGCGUUGGCGCCGGCCCAAGUUCCUUGGGACAGGACGUCGCAGAGGGUGAGAAUCCCGUACGCGGCCGGCGGCCCUCCGCCAUGUGAAGCGCCUUCGACGAGUCGAGUUGUUUGGGAAUGCAGCUCUAAGCGGGAGGUAAAUUUCUUCUAAGGCUAAAUACCGGCCAGAGACCGAUAGCGCACAAGUAGAGUGAUCGAAAGAUGAAAAGCACUUUGGAAAGAGAGUUAAAAAGCACGUGAAAUUGUUGAAAGGGAAGCGCUUGCCGCCAGACCCGCCCGCGGACGCUCAACCUGACCCACUGGCAGGUGCACUCUUCCGCGGGCGGGCCAGCAUCGGUUCGGGCGGCCGGAUAAAGGCGGCGGGAAUGUAGCUCCCCCCGGGGAGUGUUAUAGCCCGCCGCGGCAUGCGGCCUGCCUGGACCGAGGACCGCGCUCUGUGGCUAGGAUGCUGGCGUAAUGGCUGCAAGCGGCCCGUCUUGAAACACGGACCAAGGAGUCUAACAUCUGUGCGAGUGUUCGGGCGCCAAACCCGCGCGCGCAAUGAAAGUGAACGGAGGUGGGAACCGCUCUCCUGCGGCGCACCAUCGACCGAUCCUGAAGUCUUUCGGAUGGAUUUGAGUAAGAGCACAGCUGUUGGGACCCGAAAGAUGGUGAACUAUGCCUGAAUAGGGCGAAGCCAGAGGAAACUCUGGUGGAGGCUCGCAGCGGUUCUGACGUGCAAAUC
rnacentral:rRNA from 1 species